rnacentral:rRNA from 1 species
UAUCUCGGCUCUUGCAUCGAUGAAGAACGUAGCGAAAUGCGAUACUUGGUGUGAAUUGCAGAAUCCCGUGAACCAUCGAGUCUUUGAACGCAAGUUGCGCCUGAAGCCAUUAGGUUGAAGGCACGUCUGCCUGGGCGUCACGCAUUGCGUCACCCACUCCCCCGUGCCUUANCGGGCAU